rnacentral:rRNA from 1 species
AUACGGAGGAUCCGAGCGUUAUCCGGAUUUAUUGGGUUUAAAGGGUGCGCAGGCGGGAGAUUAAGUCGGCGGUGAAAUUUUUCAGCUCAACUGUAAAAGUGCCUUCGAAACUGGGUUUCUUGAGUAUGGAUUAAGUAGGCGGAAUUUUUGGUGUAGCGGGGAAAUGCAUAGAUAUCACGAGGAACUCCGAUUGCGCAGGCAGCUUACUAAGCCAUAACUGACGCUCAUGCACGAAGGCGUGGGGAUCAAACAGGAUUAGAUACCCUGGUAGUCCACGCAGUAAACGAUGAUUACUCGCUGUUUGCGAUACAAUGUAAGCGGCUAAGCGAAAGCAUUAAGUAAUCCACCUGGGGAGUACGUUCGCAAGAAUGAAACUCAAAUGAAUUGACGGGG